rnacentral:rRNA from 1 species
GAUGAACGCUGGCGGCGUGCCUAAUACAUGCAAGUCGAGCGAACAGACGAGGAGCUUGCUCCUCUGACGUUAGCGGCGGACGGGUGAGUAACACGUGGAUAACCUACCUAUAAGACUGGGAUAACUUCAGGAAACCGGAGCUAAUACCGGAUAAUAUAUUGAACUGCAUGGUUCAAUAGUGAAAGACGGUUUUGCUGUCACGUAUAGAUGGAUCCGCGCCGCAUUAGCUAGUUGGUAAGGUAACGGCUUACCAAGGCAACGAUGCGUAGCCGACCUGAGAGGGUGAUGGGCCACACUGGACCUGGGACACGGUCCAGCCUCCUACGGGAGGCAGCAGUAGGGAAUCUUCCGCAAUGGGCGAAAGCUUGACGGAGCAACGCCGCGUGAGUGAUGAAGGUCUUCGGAUCGUAAAACUCUGUUAUUAGGGAAGAACAAAUGUGUAAGUAACUAUGCACGUCUUGACGGUACCUAAUCAGAAAGCCACGGCUAACUACGUG